UUCUCCAGGCAGCAUCUCCAUGUGUGGCCACCGCAGGGCACUGCACGCAAAGAGUGAGAGGAGCAGGCAAGGCACCCUGAGGAGGUGGGAUGUACAGAUUCCUUGGAGUGCUCUUGUGCUGUCUUAGCUGAAGGGAGCAUGCCAAUCUCUUCAGGAGCAGAGGGGCAUGUUGGGGUUGGGGUUGACACAUCCAUCAGAUGGCUGCCAGAAGGAGGACAGGGCAUGCACACACCACUGUCUUUCAAAGUCAAUUCCUAUCUCCAAAGGUACUUGCAUCGCCACCCUGAAGCCAGAGGAAGAGGUGUCUAUGGGAGACCAGAAGUCAGUGGGCCACUUGACCAAAGCAGAAGGCCAGUUCUUGGGGAAAUGCAUUUUUCUUGUUCCUAAGGAUUGUCCCCACAUCAGCAGAAAGCCACAGCCCACAAAGGCCAAGCUGGAUCCUACAAUGAAAAUUCCUCCUGGAGGAGGAGAGACGACACAGGAAAAUCAGUGCAAGUAUGAUUUUCAUUGUGAAAAUGAUGAAGGUUCAACUGCUCCAGCCAGCAACAUGGACACUGAUUUGUUUCCUACCAGCAUUCAGAAGGUCCCUGCUGUGGGCAAAGACAGCAACUCAAAAGCCUCAGUUACCAAGUCAUCUAUCUGUACCCUGAUAUAGCAAUCUGUUCACUGCUUUUCAGGAUAGUUUGCUCCAGAUCCAUCUUAAUGAAGAUGGAGCUGGCUGCCAUGGUGCUAAGAGAUUUGAUUUUAAAUAUCAGGCAGGAGAAAUAUCUUCUUUGGGGCAAGGAUCACACCAUGAUGGGGCUCCUAUACCUAUCUGCGUUGUUCCACAUGCCUAUCUUAGCUUAAUUCCAGCUUCCUCUGGAACACAUUUAAAAAUGCACUGUCUGUAAUUCAGAAAGCAGUUAUCAAGCAAAGAUAAGGAUUAACUCUCUACAAGCUCCCUUCCUGCAGGUUGUUCAGUGCUGUUUCAUGCUUGUCUAGAAAGUAGAAAGCCGCUAGACUUAAAUCAGGAAAUUCAAACCUCAUGGCACACCCUUAACGCAACCUCAACCCGAGCCUCUGAGUCUCGCAGUAGCUUGACUCACUGGUAAUAGCCUGAUUUGGCCUGAUUCACGUAAGGCAUGUUUACAUUGCCUUUGUUGUGAGUCUGGGAGCACCACUGAGAAGCCUGCCUUGCAGAGAUGUACUGAUAACUAGCAAGGUUUGCACCCUGGGCAAAACCCUGCCAGCGUGGAGGGUGUGCUGAGCAUGGGAGCAAGAGGAGGGGGAAGCAGGGGGGAGUCUUACCUGCCACAGGAACACAAGGUCUGCCCGCCCUGACUGGUGCUGCUGCUAUUAUAGCAGCAGUGUGCAGUCCCUGCAUCUGGCUGCUGCUGUUGUUGUGACACAGACUCCACUGGAGAUUUCUAUUCUGGUGCCCCCUCUAAAUGGAUGCCUGGGACUGGUGCCCUGAUCACCUACCCCUUGUUAUGCUACUCCUGCCCUGUCCAUCCACUCUUACCUAGUAUAUCCCAAGCCUGGAAACUAGGCAGUGUAACCAGCAUAGCACAGUCCUGACCACAUGCCAAGAUGCGUGCCCAGGAUAGAGAGCCUGAGAGCUGUACUGAUCAUUUGUUCAGGGCUGCACCACACUGGCUACAAUGUCUAACUCUUGGGUUUUGAUGUGCACUGAGAGGGAGCUCCUGGGCAGGGCAUGCUUCUUGGUAGCACCCCUGGCUUGCCAGGGAAGCACUGAGGUCAUCUGUAAAGAUGAGGUCAUAAUGCAUAAAAGUGAAGAAUGACUAAGAGAGUGUUGUCAUUGUUUGUGUCCAUGUGCAGGCUGGAAUUCCAGGCUGUACCUGCACGCAUCCUGCUGAGUUUGCUAUGUCGGAUGAUGCUGGGCAGAACAGUCGAGCAAGAGGAUUGGCAGGGCUGCCGCUGCGAUUAAGGAGAGAGGCCCAUGUACAUUGAAGGAGCAAGUCUGCCUCAUUCCAGUGUGGGAUUCUGUGGUUUUGGCAGCAGUGGGGAACAGGGCUCUUCUUCUCAUAAGGACUGUCAGCUGUCUGGUGAGACACAUGCCUGAGGUCCCUGAAGGCUAGUAAGGGAGAAGUGAAGGGAGUAUCUCAGUGGGAAUCCUCAGAGCAAGGCUCUGAGGGCAGUGACACCUCAUGAGGCAGGGGUGGCUUGGGUGGAGCAGGCUUAGUGCUCAAAUGUAGACCAGGUGUUGGUUACUUCUCUGCUACAUCUGACUAAAAUCUAAUCUGACCUCAGCUAAAAGCAGGAGUUUGCUUGGCACUAUUCAUGUGCUCUGCUCCUGAAGUGUUCUCUCACAGAGACUUUCUCUGGUUCAGCAUUUAUCCAGUGCCCAGCACAAUAGGAUCCUGGUCCAGGUCCGGGGCUUUUUGAGACCACAGUAUUCACAUUACUGAAGAGGGUAGGCCGCCAGAGUGGUUGGUGCUGGCAUGCAGUGGGGAAGGGGGGACACUGCUCCAAGAGGGCUGGGUCAGGUCACAUUGUGUGGAUAGCAUGUACCUUAACUCUUCAGUCCUUGCCUGAUGGCAGAUGCCAGACAAGCUUUUGGGCACAAAGUGCCCUUCCUCAUGCCACUUUGAGUAAGGGCACUUUGCAUGAGUGGAUCCAGGAUUUCAGAAAGAGGUGGAGGAUGUGGGAGCAGUGACCUACUCUGCAGGGGUGGCCAUACUCCAGCUUUUAACCUCCUCCUUGCCCCACCCCACACCAGGGUGACCAGACUGCACCACAGGAGUACUAGCUGGGGAGUUUUUUUAGGUCCCUCAAGCAGGUAGGAAUCCCUUCUCCCUUCCCCUCUGUGAGCAUUUCCCUCCCCCCACUUCCAUUUUCCCUCCCCUGCCUGCUGCUGCUGCUGUCCCUGAUGUCUCAGAGGACAGAGGCCAUGGGGAUGUAUGAUCCAGAGUCACUUCUGCCCCACUGCAGCAGGGCCCCACAUGGAGCCAGGCUUGGCUAGAGACAGCAGUGGCAGUGGGCUGGUUCUUUUCCCCUUCACCUGCUCCUGGGCUGUAAGGGAACACCGGAGGACAGGACAGGGAGGAGGGACCCACCCACUACUGCUGCUGUUCCUGGCUGAGCUCUGCUUUGUAGAGCCUGGCUGGAGUGAACAAAAGUGGUUCUGGAGCUCCUGUUCUGCCCCUACCCCUGCCUUUGGGGCAGCUAGAGACAGCAGCAGCAGUGCAUAGAGGCCUGGGGAUGAGAGGGGGGUAUCCUUACUUGCUUCAGGGACUGAAAUAAAGUUCCUAGCUGAUCCUCCACAGUGUUGUCAACUGAAAGAGGUGUGUGUCUACAUUAUUGCACCCCCCUGGAUCCACCCCUGGCAUGUAGUACCUGAAAGUUUCCCUAACAUUUCUCCCAAUUAUACAGUUGGUCCAGUAAAAGAUUUCACUAAAAAAUACAAUACAGCUAUAGAAACACUCUAGCCCUUUUGCUAUUUUGAAAAAGUUAAUGACUUCUGAAUUCCAGGGAUUACCUAUAUUUAGCAAAUGAGCCUGAUAACAUUCAUUGUCACACUGACAAUCCCCAUGCUCAGACCAAUUUAGCCCAGUUUACAUGGGUUAAGACUGAUGUGGUCUUGCUGCAGUAAGAGUUAGUAUGAAUUACUGACAAUACAGGCAUGCUUCAUAGUUUUGGCCAAGAGAGGGAGCAGUUUUUGACUAUGUCAAAACAUUUUAUCUUGACAUCUUUUAAAUGAAAUGCUUCAUGUUGGGAAAUGCUGAGAUGUCUCAUUCUGAUAUUUUUAAACAAAUCUUUCCAUUUGGGAAUGGAAAUAUUUAAAAACUGACCUAAGCUAAAAAGGGGGAAAAAGGUUAAACAAGGGGUUUAAAUACCUUAUGAGGGACACAGGAUAAGAAAGGGCCUCCUGGGUAUAUUCCAGUCCCUGGCUAUAGCCAGAAAUCUCCUCAUCUAAUCCCUUUCAGAAACCAAUCUACCUCCAUCUCCAAAGGAGUAAGGGUUAAUGGCUUUUUUUUCCUUUCACUGAAAAACUGGAGAAUUUUCUGUCUUUGACUCAAAAAAAUGCUUCCCCAAUUUUUGGCAAACGAAAAAUGCCCUAAUUUAGCUUGCUGUACUGGUGAAUGCACCUGGCCCCCACUGACAAGCAGAGAUCGCUAGAUUCCCCAUCAGGCAUUAGAAGUAGUCACGUGCAUCUGGGUGGCCCCAAGCUCAGGCCCUGGGUUUCACUGGGCUCUAGGGGCAGGAGCAUGUGCCAUCUUGGCUGAGUAGCAGUCACGGGAAUGCUGAAGCUCGGUCACAGCUAGGGCAAACAGCAUAGUCAAGCAAAGACCAUGGCGGGAGGGACAAGAAGUCCUCCCGGGCAAGGAGCUGAGUCUGUUAUGAUGAGCAUGGUAGGGUUUUUUCAAGGGAGGCUAGCACUCCUCCAGCCUUAAUGGUGAAUAAAGUUAACAUCUGCAACUGGCCCAGAAAGGAGGAAGAAGCUGUCUCUAUCUAUGAGCAUGGAGAGACAGAGGAAGCUAUGGUGUUCCCAGAUAGCAGCAGUUGGUUUAUACAGGUGCUGGCACAGCCCAUGCUGGGUGCUAGGGCUGGGACAAUGGAGGGGAGUGCUGCUGUGAGUAGCACCCCAGAAAUGGGUUGACCCCAACUCACUACUUCCCUGUUGCUCAUAACUGUAACUCUCUAGGGCUUGCAGCAGAAUUCCCCCCUGGGUCCGGCAGGAUGCUGUCAUCACCGUUUGUCACUAGGUGGGUAUAGCUACAGGGUAGUAGAAGUCUCUGUUUCUUUAUCCAGUCGCCCUCUGACCCUCGCUCCCUAGUGUCCUCAUCUUUUCAUUCCUCCUCACCAGAUAUUGCUGUAAGCUGCCUUUUUCCCUCCAAGCCUUUCCCCAGGCCCUCCCAAACUGGGAACAAAGCAUUCAACUAAGUCAUACAGUCAGACUCGAUAGACUCUUCUCCAUUUAUCUUGAACCCACCUGGACAUCACAAAAUGGCACCCAAGUAGCAAGGGAAUUUCAGAGGCCACCCCAUCAACAAAGGAACAAUUUUAUUGCACAAGCAGUCAGGAAUGACUCAAUUUCUUUCAAUUUACAGUGAAACCUACUUUCUUAAUGCUGCCAAAGUUGCUCCUAGCAUGGAAAAUGCUGCUUUGCCUAACCUGCCUUUACAUUUUAUGGUUUAGACACCUCCGACUUGAGUUGUGAUUGAGCAGAUUAUCAGAGGAGUCGGGUUUUCUCCCUCAUCAUUGAAACCUGGACAGAAAUAAAGGGGUAGCGUCUUGGUAAAGGAGUCAGUGAAGGUGAAGAGAUGGGAGCCAUCAGUCACAUUGUAAAAAGAGACCUCCCCUGCCUCAUAGUCUAGGAAGAUCCCUACCUUAGCUGGGCUAAGAAUGAGGGCAGUGGGGACAGAGGUGAGGGCUUCAUACACAUCUCCAUUCAUCAGCCACACUGCCCAGUAUCCAUCUUGGGGUGAGAGUGUGACCUUUCGCUUCCUGCUUACAGAUUCCUGGCACAUUCAUAGUUCCCAUUCAGUCUUGUAUCCCACUUCCACUUCCCAGUAGCACCUCCCACAUGUGAAUCCUUGGGAGCCCAAGACAACAGGACAGACAUCAAAUCUCUCUGGGUUGUCAGGCAGGUCCUGCUGUGUGGCUGAGUCACACUUUUCUGAUCCUCUGAUAGGAUGAGCCAAGGAUUUGCUGUGUCAGGAUCCAGAGUCAUGUCCACUGGAGAGAGAAUUGAGGGUCAGUGCCAGGAGCAGGAAUGGAUCAUUGUCAGUUAAGGGAAGUUAAUCUAAAUGAGCCUUAUCAGUUCCUGUGGAACUUUUCCAUGUAAAAUUAUGGUUGCCCAGAGGGGGAAAUGGAAGCAGAAUAUUGAGUAAGCUCCAGGUAGUGUGUGAAUUUGGUUGCUGCUGAUCUAUUAGUUCCUUGGGGAAGGAGAAAGGUGUUUGGGGUGGUGCAUUCAAGUACAUUUCCCCAUCCCAGGAGGCUCACGGCAUCUUCAGGCCUCUCUGUGGCUCUCACAGUGACCUCUGUCCCUCUGCAGUACCCACUCAGCUGGAGGACAGACUUCCCCUAUGCUUCUAAAUGACAUAAACUUUCCCUCUCCCCCAGCAUCUUCACUGGCACCAGCAAAAGUUACUUACACUAGACUACAUUAUCACCUCCCUAUGAGCUAAGAUGAGCCUGUAAGAACGAACCCAGGACAGUGCUAGCAGGGCCAUGGCAGCCAAGCUCUGCCCAGGGGAGAUGCACAGAGCACUUUCUGGGAAGGGUUCAAUGAGUGCAGUGGUGCCCAAUCUCCCCUCGUGCCAGCUGUAGCUAUGUUCAGGCUCUAGUUCACCAUUUAUAUAGCCCUAUAUUUAUAUAGCUUAAUACAGGGCUUUUGAAUUCCUGUGCCUGGGUAUUCUCUGGAAAGGGGUGUGGUGGCAAAGGCAGCAAUAGAAUAUAGAGGGGGCGCUGCACAGGUUGGUGCCAUCAUUAGGGAAACAGGAAGCUACACUGAUAGGUGGAAGAGGGCAGAGACUGGGCAGGGACAAGGCAACAAAAAAGGGGCAGUGACUCAGGACCUGGCCGCUGUUAAGCAGAGGGGAGGCCUUGUGUUUCUCUCUGCACAGACCAUGCCAGUACCCUGCACGGUACAGGAAUAUUCGCCUACCUGAAAAUUUCCUCAGCAUUUCCAGCAUCUCAGUGGGGCUGUAACUCUGCUUCAGGCAGAUUUUAAUGGCUUCUGGUUUGGGGGGUUUCACAUCAGUCCAGCUAAGGACAAAGCCACCAUUAUCAUUGAGCUGCUUAGGAGAACAUAGUGGGAGAUGCAAGAUGGAGAGAUACUGGGGCAGGGUGCUUUGCACAUCCUGGAGGGAGGAAUGAGAAUGAAUGAUUUACUCUACACCAUGGCCUCUCAGCAUUCACUCUCUAGGUGGCUGGAGUUUACACGUGCCAGAUAUCACUGUAUUGUGGCACCCCGCUUCCCUCAACAGGGGUAUAGGUGCCAGAAGGCAGGAAUGCCACAUUUUGAUUGAACAUUUGAACACAGAUGAUUAACAUUAGCUUUGCCAAUGCAAGCAUGAGGGAGGUGAAGGGGGAAGAUCUCUUAUACGAUCUCAUCCUCAGCAGCUUAGCAGGUGAGUCUGGAGAAUGAGUAAUCCCCCCUGCAUGUUGAGAUGUUGAGAAUGCCUCCUGCAUUAAACAAGAGAGCAGAAGGGACCCACAGGAUCCAGUGAUAGAUGAGAGGAGAAAGAGUCCUUACCUUGUAGGCAACCUCCUUGAUGGAAGCCGUGGGAUGAAUCCCAUGGCCCUGAGACUCUCUGCAGCCCGGGCAGAUGGGAGCCUGGUUCUCUUUGCGGAACAGCUUCAGAGCUUCAUGGUGUAUCUCACACACUCCUUCUGCCCUUGGAGCUCUGCCUUCCUGGGUCCGUAGCUGUUUAGAAAUUUCCACCAUAUUCUUCAGCCACAGGGUAGGCUAGAGCUUUCUUCUCUGUCACUUUUUCCCGCACUGAGGACAGGGGAAGUGCCUCACCAGCGUCUCCCAGCAGUGGAUGAUGCAGGCUUGGCAGAAACUCUGGCCACACAUAACAGUCACAGACUCCUUAAAAUCCUCCAGGCAGACUGGGCAGGUGACUUCCUCCUGGAGACGGUGCAAGGGGUCUGCAGCAGCAAUCGCACUUCUGAGGGCAGCAAGGAGGCAAACUUUGGUUUUGUUCAAAGCAGUGGGCUUUUGCCUCCUGAAACCAGAUAGUAGCCAAGCAGACACUCGUGAAACCAGAUAGGACCCAAGCAGUGCCCAGAGCCCGAGGACUUUAAGGUCUCUGCACAUUUUAUUCUGCUUGCCUAAGAAACCACCCUUAGUCUUUCACUUGCAAGGAGCUGCUGCUUCUCAUGGGACUCAACUGUCCUGAGAUCCAGCUGUAGUUUAAGUUUUCCUAAAAUUAGGAAGCCAUAUUCAUCCUAAUGCUGCCUAGGGCAGCUCCUAGCCUGCAUACCACAUGGUCCCUCCUGCUACUAUGCCCCCUAAAUCAUUAUUAACAAUCAGCUGGAACUAAUAGAAGUCCCAGUGACUGGUAAUAGAUGAUCCAGGUUGGUGGACCAUUUCCUUCUGAUGCCUUUCACCUUCCCCACAUGGCCCUCUGCCUUCAGUCUGCCCAGAGUAUCAUGUGUCCCUGGCACCCCAGUAGUGGUACAAUGCUGGGUAUACUCCUUCUGCAGCUAGGCCUCAUCUAGUAACCACAAUAAUACUGGCCUCCUGUCUUCAGACUCACAAAGUGGAGAUACAAAUUAGGAGACUCUGGGCCUUGAGGCUGUGCCAGUUGAUUCUCUACUGUGUUGAAAAGCAGGGUGUGGCACAUUAAUCAAACCUUAGUUCCUUGUGACAAUAUGAAAUGGUCCAGGAUUUUGUGUCAGGGUAUUUCUGGCAAUUGCAACAACCCAGAAAAGUCCUUUUACGCUUCUAUUCAAAAUGCAGAUAAAGGAGGGAAGCAGUGAUAUCACUGCAAAUGUAAGACAUUAAGUAGGGCCUGGAUUGUAAUGCCCUCCCCUCAGAGCUGUAGGUACUUUGUACACUUAGUAAAGGAAAGUCUCAUAGUCUUUUAGCCAGCGUUGUCUUGGUGCAGCCAUGAUAGCGCAGGAGCUAUGCAAAAAGCAAGAUUAAUUUGGUAAUAUCUUUGACUGGACUAUGUAGAUGGGAGAGAUGUUAGAAAAUGUUUUUGGUGUGAAAUGCCCUUCUUCAGCUCUGAGAAAGAUGCAGCCUAAGAUAAAUACCAGGUAGAACAAUGACUUUUGUUUAUGCAGCAUAAAUGGUCACUUAAAAUGGGGAGGAGGGCAGUAAACUUGUCCAGCAACAAGAAGUUAUCAGAACCAGCUACUGACCAAGUAAACAGCCAAAGAGCUGCUGAAAUAGAUACUGGUACACUUAAUUAUGCAAACGAAUAAGACCAUUCAACAGGGAAGAGGGCUGCUAUUACCCGUGCUGUACAGAGAAAUUAGCAGAGGGAGUAGAUAAAUGUAAUGUAACUGUUCCCUGUUCUCCCACUGGUGGUGGGUGUUCCUUUCCUUUUUUCUGUGAGAAUUAAUUGUUUCACCCACAUAUUUUCCACGAGAGCAUUUGAUGCACUGGAUGAGAUAUAGCACGUUCUGUGACAGAUGUGUUCCGUGGAUUCUGAUGGUGUAUUUGGGGAGUGCAUUGAUGAUGGCUAUGGUGAAGAUGUGUUGCCAGGUUUUACAUUUGUGAUUUAGGUUUCGUCCUGUUCUGCUUGGUAUUUGUUGAUCAGCAGAGAAAUUGCUUCUGAUGAUGAGUUGGGUGUGGGUUAUUUGAAAGCUAAGUGGUAUUGAAAAGUGUGUUAAGUGACAUUUUUGGGGAAGAGAGAGAGGCAUUUUGCUGGGAAGGGUAAGAGCUGUGGUUGUUAGUCCACUGCGGGUCUUUUGAAGACACAGAAAACAACAGAAAUAGAAAAUGCAGGUUCUGUCACUGAUAUUGUCUCUGCCAUUGCAACUCCAUUGAAUUUCCCUCACCCAUUCCCCCUUGUUCCCCAAAAAUCUUCUUAUAAGAAUCCCCAAUAAGUUGAUGUGUGUGAUAGCCCAUUUUCUCAUUAUUUUGUUCUCCAAUUAUCUCUCACUUCCAGCAUGCAAAAUCUUGGUGCAUUAAUUUCUGAUCUUGUAUACCAGACAUGGUCUCAGCACAGAUCUUGAGUAUUCCAGUUGGCCUUUUCUGGACCACUUCAGCCUCUUUCUGCCCCAUUUAUACCUUUCCUGUAACAUUUAUUGUUGUAGGUGGUUGGAACACAUUGUUAUGGGAAAGGUAUGAAUGGGACAGAAAGAGGCUUUCUCUUUAAUUUACUUUCCUACAGUUGAAUUUAUAAUUGAUGCGGUCUUUUUAAGCCAGAGGUUUUGUUCAUAAAUGACCCAAGCAAAAAAAAAAAAAAAGGUUAAUUCUUAACACAAGCAAAUAAACAGAUAGAGGGCCGUAUGACUCAUCAUUAGCUCAAAUUUAUAUCUGAUAAACAGGAUCUCACUGAUGGCUCCUAAAACAAAAAAGAUGGCUGAAACACAAAAACAUGUAUAAAAAGAAAAGAAGCAUGCCUGAUACCAUUGUUUUGCAAUGUAAAUUCUCACAGCUUCCUCAUUCUCAGCUGGUGUGUAUGUAAGCAUGCACACACCCACUGAUGGAGCAAAGGAACUCAGCUUUGCUGAGUACCUAAUCUAUCUGGAUGGCUAAUUGCUCAGUAGAUUCUGAAACUCCUUACUGCACACAGUAAUGUAUCCUAUGCUCAACUAAGCAUUCUUUGUGUUCCAACUUUCCUGCCCUAGAGGCCUGGUUUAUAUAAAUGGAUAUUAGAUUGCCUUCUUAUCUGCUCCAUUACAUUCUGAUGUUUCUGAGUUAGAGGGAUUUUGGAUUGAAGGGACAUAUUCUGAUAAAGCAAUAUCCAGAGGCUUUUUGUGCUACUUGUGCAGCAUUUAGAAAAUGUAGAGUAUUCUUAAAAUGGGCAAUAAUUUAAGAUAUCCUAAAGGCAACCUUUUAUAAUAAAUAGAUGGCUUACAUCUGAAUCUUUGUCAUGAGAAUUUUAGGAAUGCACUGGGUGGCAGACUGGUCUUGCUAUGUAACAUUUCUGGGCUAAGCAUGAUUUGUUACAAUAAUGUUUAAUGCUUCUGUUACCCUGACUUUCUUUUCUUUUUGUUAUACCCUGGCAAAGAAUGGGUUAAGGUUGGUGAAUUAGACCUGGGAGUGUGGGUGUGGCUCUGUACUAAUUGUCUCAGCUACUGGGUAAUGGGUCAAGAGUACACAGGGACUAAUUUGCGGAUGAAUAUACAUUGGAACACCACUGAAUCCAGCCCCCAGCACCUGGAGACUUCCUCCUGUUUCUGUCUAGCACACAGCAAGGAGAUAAAAGGAACCUGCCCUGAGAAGCAAGCUUGAAAAGGAGGAUCCCAAAAAGACACAAUGGGACAGGAUGGCAGGGCAGGGAGAGACUGAUGUUUCAUCAGAGAGGUGUUAAUAUAGGCUGAUGCAAGAGGGAGAGACACCUCUGUGUAUAUUUGUGCAGACAACUGCUUUCCAAGGAAACAAAGUAUGCAACUGUUGAAAAAGAAAGGCCAUUGUAUAGGUUCUUAAGAAAUUACCACCCCACCUGGCUGGGAUAUAUGCACAGGCGUGUAGGUUGUAGCCGUGUUGGUCUAAGGACAUAGGCAGACAAGGUUCCUUGGGUGAAUCUGAUAUCUUUUAUUAGACCAACCCAAAUAGUUGGAAAAUAAUUAUUAAGCAAGCUUUUG